rnacentral:sRNA from 1 species
AGAGCAUAUAUCUAAACACAUUGCUCUUGAAAGCAUUGAGGUUAAUGGGGCUCCUGGUAGACGCUUUGUUAGUGUGUACAGAGCAGGCUCUCAGACAAUCGAGGGCCAGUGAGUUUAGGAGGCUCUUCAGUACUUCACCAUAGUUUCGCUUUCUUUGAGAUCAUCUUAGCCCAGUUUGUUUCUGUGGCUAGAACAACACCAGAGGCUGGAAGGAUUACAAAGAGAAGACUUCAUCUCAUGGCUCUAGAGGCAGGAGAGUUCGGGUGUUUUGGUUGCAUGGGCCCUAUGAUGGGUUCUAAUGUGGUGGAUGGUAUCAUAUGGCAGGAGUGUGUGUGAGUGUGGCAAGCAGGGUUUGUGGAAAAGAGAAGGGGGUAGAAGACAGCAGGUGCUUUACAACAAUCUUCUCUCUGAAAACGCAUCCAUUCCUGAGAGAAGCAACCCAGUCUCCAGGGAAGGAUGUUAGUCCUCAAAGACCCCAACCCUACAAUGCUCUAGUGGUAAAGACUGUUAAGAUGAGCUCCAGCAGGAUUAAACUGGGUCUUGGAACAUAGCAGACACCACUGUCAGAAGGGCGGUGAAUGAACUUGACAUCACCGUUACUUGGGACGUAAGCAGGCACCAAUGACUGCGGUGCAUCUAUCAACUUUGCAGAGCUGCAGCCUUGCCACUUGGCCCUGGACCCUAGACUACAACCUUGGUUCCAUUUCCUUAUAUGUAACAUAAGAAACAACCAUGAGUGAGAGGGAUCAUAACCUUUACUUUGUACGAAGACAGAGAAGAUUCAGAGAGCUGAGACAUUGCUCUUAGAAGAAACAAUGAGAAAACAGACUUAAGUUUGAAACCGUGGAGCCUGGUCCCUUCGCGCUCAUAACCACUGCACAUCUUGCCUCAAUGCCUAUACAAAACUGUUUCUUUAAUCUGUGAUGAUGGUAACUUGGACAAGUUCAUUAAUUCGCUAGACCCCAUUUCCUGCAAGAGAAACAGCGUUCCGUGAUUGUCUAUCUUCUAAAGAUGCUGGGGGAGUCACUGAAGCAGAUAGUAAUGGGAUUCGAGGAGAACCCCAGCAGCUGUGGGCAAGAAGCCAAUGCUCACCUCAGCAGUAAUACUGAUUGCUCUGCGAACAUCACACACAUCUGUGGUGUUUGUAAUUACUUGCUCCAAAGCUUGUGAUUUCCCUAUGUUCUAGAAACUGUCUCUUCCUAAUUUGCCUUUGGCAGCCUCACCUCGACAGAGCAUACUUGGGAGCAUCCUCUGCUUUCGGUGUUAUUUGGAGAUGCAUUGAUAAAUGGCGUGAAAAGUUCCUCUCUCUUAGAAUCCUAGCAUAAUGUUUGGCUUGGGAAUUCCACCUAAUUAAUAUUGGUUCUUUUUCUUUUUGCAAUGGAACACAUUAUCUGAGACAAACACUCCGGAGUCCCAUAGCAGGUGCCUCUGAGGGACACAAGCAUCUCUAGCACAGCAGCUCACAUGCCCUGUGAUAUGAGCAACGUGAUGUACAAGGAAGCCCAUGCUGGAGCCUACCUCGGAGGGCAGGGGAUGUUAUGUGUUAUGGAGAACAGUGCUGCAGGCGUGGUUGAAAGUCUCCAGAGCAGAAAGAGGAAGGCACUUGAUGUUCUGAUCGCUUCGAACUGCUAAUUAGGCUCAUGCAUGCUACAAACGCUGGCAGCUCUUGUGUCCUGGGGUAACAGGGACAAGCCUGGCAAAGAGGCUCAGAAACACGGCCAACCCAUCCAUAAGCCCACGUGCUGUGCCUAUAAAGAGAUGCUUCAACGGAGUACACUGGCGAACCAGCUACCAAGCACGUUUGAAUGCUCUGAGAUUCCGAGUAGAAAUAUAAUGUCCAGGUGGGCAUCAAAGUCUCCUUGAAACAGCUCGGGAAAUUCUACAUUUACCGCCGGCAGUCAGUGGGGCGGGAAAUCGUGCACUCGGGAAUGGAAUACACUAUGCUUCUGGUUCGUGAAUGUGCCCACUGAGAGCUGCAGCAGCGAGUCAGCUGACAUUUCAGAGCUUCUAUGUCUUCCUUUGCAAAGUGGAAACUACCCAGUUGGCACAGUCAAGUACUCUGGCUCAGCAGAAGACUGACAAAAAAGUGGCCCUCACUCUGUGACAAUGUGUUUUAGAAAGGAAUGAAGACACUGUUUGGAAUGGAGACGCCAUUUGAAGCAGCCCUGUCCCCGAGAGGUCUACAACACCUUGCUCUUAGGAAUCCAAGUGGAAACAGGACCGUGUCCAAAUUUCUUCUUACAAUAUUGAUUUUUUUUUAAAGAACCUUAUCUCUCAAAGUCAUAUGUUUUGAAACAGUAUAGCUCUGCUGGCUUUGAACUCACUAUGUAGCUAAGGGAGGCUGAGGAUCCUGGUCCUCCAAGUGCUGGGAUUGUAGGAAUGAGCCAUCAUGCCGAGCAACACAUUUGCCCUGAGGCUUUCUGGAGACCUACCUCCUCCCUAGUUCUAAUAAAGGCAAGCGUCUUAUAGGUGGACUUAUGUUUGC